CCUACGGGAGGCAGCAGUGGGGAAUUUUGGACAAUGGGCGCAAGCCUGAUCCAGCAAUGCCGCGUGCAGGAUGAAGGCCUUCGGGUUGUAAACUGCUUUUGUACGGAACGAAACGGUCUGCCCUAAUACGGUGGGCUAAUGACGGUACCGUAAGAAUAAGCACCGGCUAACUACGUGCCAGCAGCCGCGGUAAUACGUAGGGUGCGAGCGUUAAUCGGAAUUACUGGGCGUAAAGCGUGCGCAGGCGGUUAUGUAAGACAGAUGUGAAAUCCCCGGGCUCAACCUGGGACCUGCAUUUGUGACUGCAUAGCUAGAGUACGGUAGAGGGGGAUGGAAUUCCGCGUGUAGCAGUGAAAUGCGUAGAUAUGCGGAGGAACACCGAUGGCGAAGGCAAUCCCCUGGACCUGUACUGACGCUCAUGCACGAAAGCGUGGGGAGCAAACAGGAUUAGAUACCCUGGUAGUCCACGCCCUAAACCGAUGUCAACUGGUUGUUGGGUCUUCACUGACUCAGUAACGAAGCUAACGCGUGAAGUUGACCGCCUGGGGGNGGUACGGCCGCGAGUAGAACGACGAAAGAAGUUAGACGGCGUGAGACGNGCCGACGGACGACGACGAGGGAGGAGG
rnacentral:rRNA from 1 species